rnacentral:misc_RNA from 1 species
GAUGAAGAACGUAGUGAAAUGCGAUAAGUAAUGUGGAUUGCAGAAUUCAGUGAAUCAUCGAAUCUUUGAACGCACAUUGCGCCCGCCAGUAUUCUGGCGGGCAUGCCUGUUCGAGCGUCAUUUCAACCAUCAAGCCCCAGGCUUGUGUUGGGGACCUGCGGCUGCCGCAGGCCCUGAAAACCAGUGGCGGGCUCGCUAGUCACACCGAGCGUAGUAGCAUACACAUCGCUCAGGGCGUGCUGCGGGUUCCGGCCGUUAAACCCCUUUUUUACCCAAGGUUGACCUCGGAUCAGGUAGGAAGACCCGCUGAACUUAAGCAUAUCAAUAAGCGGAGGA